rnacentral:rRNA from 1 species
UAAGCGUCGGUAAGGUGAUAUGAACCGUUAUAACCGGCGAUUUCCGAAUGGGGAAACCCAGUGUGAUUCGUCACACUAUCAUUAACUGAAUCCAUAGGUUAAUGAGGCGAACCGGGGGAACUGAAACAUCUAAGUACCCCGAGGAAAAGAAAUCAACCGAGAUUCCCCCAGUAGCGGCGAGCGAACGGGGAGCAGCCCAGAGCCUGAAUCAGUGUGUGUGUUAGUGGAAGCGUCUGGAAAGGCGCGCGAUACAGGGUGACAGCCCCGUACACAAAAAUGCACAUGCUGUGAGCUCGAUGAGUAGGGCGGGACACGUGGUAUCCUGUCUGAAUAUGGGGGGACCAUCCUCCAAGGCUAAAUACUCCUGACUGACCGAUAGUGAACCAGUACCGUGAGGGAAAGGCGAAAAGAACCCCGGCGAGGGGAGUGAAAAAGAACCUGAAACCGUGUACGUACAAGCAGUGGGAGCCUCUUUAUGGGGUGACUGCGUACCUUUUGUAUAAUGGGUCAGCGACUUAUAUUCUGUAGCAAGGUUAACCGAAUAGGGGAGCCGAAGGGAAACCGAGUCUUAACUGGGCGUUAAGUUGCAGGGUAUAGACCCGAAACCCGGUGAUCUAGCCAUGGGCAGGUUGAAGGUUGGGUAACACUAACUGGAGGACCGAACCGACUAAUGUUGAAAAAUUAGCGGAUGACUUGUGGCUGGGGGUGAAAGGCCAAUCAAACCGGGAGAUAGCUGGUUCUCCCCGAAAGCUAUUUAGGUAGCGCCUCGUGAAUUCAUCUCCGGGGGUAGAGCACUGUUUCGGCAAGGGGGUCAUCCCGACUUACCAACCCGAUGCAAACUGCGAAUACCGGAGAAUGUUAUCACGGGAGACACACGGCGGGUGCUAACGUCCGUCGUGAAGAGGGAAACAACCCAGACCGCCAGCUAAGGUCCCAAAGUCAUGGUUAAGUGGGAAACGAUGUGGGAAGGCCCAGACAGCCAGGAUGUUGGCUUAGAAGCAGCCAUCAUUUAAAGAAAGCGUAAUAGCUCACUGGUCGAGUCGGCCUGCGCGGAAGAUGUAACGGGGCUAAACCAUGCACCGAAGCUGCGGCAGCGACACUAUGUGUUGUUGGGUAGGGGAGCGUUCUGUAAGCCUGCGAAGGUGGCCUGUGAGGGUUGCUGGAGGUAUCAGAAGUGCGAAUGCUGACAUAAGUAACGAUAAAGCGGGUGAAAAGCCCGCUCGCCGGAAGACCAAGGGUUCCUGUCCAACGUUAAUCGGGGCAGGGUGAGUCGACCCCUAAGGCGAGGCCGAAAGGCGUAGUCGAUGGG